AUGAAUUGCGAAAGAAGUUUUUUCGGUUAAAACGCCGUGCGACUCGGAGGACAUAAGACUUCUUGGUCAAGCCAAAAAGAUUGCCGGCAGAAUGCUCCUACCCCACCAUGCCUGGCCCUUUACCUUACCUUAAGAAUAAGGGGGUAUGCAGCGUGGGAAAGAAUUAAAGAAGUGUCUGAUACAACAGGUAACCUUAAGGAGUGGCGGCAAAGCUCUUGAUUGAUCAACGCGAGUGAACUGUGCUUAGACGCUUCGUAAAACCGCACCGAUCUACGAGAGGAGCUGAUGGAUGAGUAGGCUUCCCCUUUCGAUUUACGGAAUGUGAUCUGGGACACGAUGGGGGUUUGCGUGCCUCGGUAGGAAAGAGAUCACCGGAGUAUAGCACAAGAUCGCCUUUUUUUUCUUGCUGCCAUGGGGUCGACCUGUAAACAAGGUAAACCCAAUGGGAACCAAAAACGGGAGGGUACCACAUUGACAUUGGGCAGAAGACGAUCCAAAAAGCGAAGGCUCACCCUGCUGAAGGCGAUCGGCAGUGAGGGAUGCUUACCUUCUUCUUAGAGAAAGGGGAAAGGGGCAACCUAUCUUACUAAUAAUAAGAAAGGGGGUGAGAUAGGCGACAGGUAGCUUGCUUCCAAGCCGGCCGCGAGGAAUCAAGAGAUCUUUGCCGGUGCUGACUUGGAUCUCGGGUGACGGAAAAAGGCGCCCAGAAGUGACGAGCAGUCGCGGUCGAAGCUUGGCUACAGCGAAGCGCUUACCAAGCGCGAAGGAUUCGUUCCUCUCUCCCAGCAAGAGGACCUCCAAGUCAAGCGCGCUAGCGCGCUUUACCAAGGCUUUCUCUGAUAGGGGCUCGAACGCCGUUGCUUGUUUGGGUCGAGCGUCUUCAAACCUUCGCCACUUGAGCCGUAUGCGGGGGAACUCGCACGUGCGGUUCUUAGGGGGGAGAGCUAGUAGGAACCAUCCUAUCCCAAUAGCGUUUAUUUGGAGCUCAAU
rnacentral:ncRNA from 1 species